rnacentral:tRNA from 1 species
AGUGGUUAAGCGGUUGGCUGCUAACCAAAAGAUCGGUGGUUCAAAACCACUAGCCGCUC